AACGGAGGGGGGCAAGCGUUAUUCAUCUUGACUGGGUGUAAAGGGUAUGUAGAUGGUUUUUUUUUUUUGAAAUAAGUAAUCCAAGCACAACUUUUGAAGUUAUUUUUUUAUAAAUUAAAACUUGAGGUUAUAAGAAGUACGUUACAUUUUUAGAGUAAAGGUGAAAUUCCAGAAUACUAAAAAGAUAUCUUAAUGGCGAAAGCUACGUACUAUUAUUAUCCUGACAUUGAGAUACGAAAGCAUGGGGAUCAAACAGG
rnacentral:rRNA from 1 species